AUUCUAAAAGUAUUCCGAUCAGUUACCUUGUUAGUGACGAAAUACUUUACUGUGCAACUAUAUGGAGUAGCUCUUAAAUAUUUGCGGUUUUUUUAUGUGGAGACAAAAUAAUCCUAUAUCUAAAAUAUGGUAAAAAUUAUAAAUUGCAUUCCUGUAUCCAAAGAAGUAGAUAGAUUAUACUCCGAGUAUGGAAUGAAUAAAGAUCAAGUUAAAGCAGAUGUUGCUAAUAUAAGAAAAUGGAUGUUAACCCAACCUCAUCUUCCUAUUUUUCCAGAAGAAAAAAGUGAAGAGCUAAAUUAUCAAAUUGAAGGCUAUCUUCGACUUACAAAAAAUAAUAUCGAAAAAUCAAAAAUUGCGUUAGAUUCUUAUUUUUGCUUGAAAACAUUAUAUCCUAAAAUUUUUGAAAUAAGUAAUCUGUACGAUUAUGUUGAUAGUGAUAUAUUUGAAUGUGUGUCAAUGUUAAUGUUACCAAAACAUACACCUGAUGGUUUGAGAGUAAUGUAUUAUGGAUUUAAUAACUGUAAUAGCCAUUUGUUUCAACCAGUUGAAAUAUAUCGAAGAAUUCGUAUAAUGAUUGAUGUAUUGUUAAUAAAAGGAAUAGAUUUUACUGGAUUACAUGUAAUUUGGGAUGCACGAUAUACUUAUAUAUCACAAAUAAGACGGCUUGACUUAUACCAACUUAAAAGUCUCAUAAAACUGUCCCAGAAAGCAUAUCCUUUGCGUAUGAAAAAAAACUAUGUGUUGUUCCCUCCAGUUUUCUUGGAUGUGACAAUGAAAUUUAUAAAACCAUUCUUAUCAAAAACAAUUACGGAAGGAUGGUAAUUACUAAAAAUAUUGAAACUCUGUGGAGCCAUAUACCUAAAGAUAUUUUGCCAAUCGAAUUAGGCGGAAAUGAAUAUACUCUGAAUGAUAUAAGAGGUGAAUGGAAAGAUUAUAUAUUACAAAAUAGAGAAUGGUUCAUCUCCAAUGCAAACUAUAAAUCAGACGAAGCUAAAAGAAUGAGAAAAGAAAAAAAAAUUGAGUUAUAAAAUUUCAAUAAAUUCAAAUUGGACUAUAUAAAAUUAUUUAUUACCAUAAAAUUAUUUUUAUGGUAAAAUAAAAAUAAAUAUUUUUUUUGUACAUAAGUUAUA